GAUGAACGCUGGCGGCGUGCCUAAUACAUGCAAGUCGAGCGCACUUUUUUGGGCUUUGUCCCAACAGUUAGAGGCGGGCAGGUGAGUAUCACGCGGGUAACCUGUCUGUAAGACUGGGGUAACUCAGGGAGAACGGAACUAUUACCCGAUAACAAUGCAGUAAACAUAGCCUUCAAUUAAAAAAUAGCUUUUAGCUUCAACUUACGGAGGGACCCGCGUCGAAUUAGCUAGUUGGUGAGGUAACGGCUCACCAAGGCGACGAUCCGUAGCCGACCUGAGAGGGUGAUCGGCCACAUUGGGACUGAGACACGGCCCAGACUCCUACGGGAGGCAGCAGUAGGGAAUCUUCCGCAAUGGACGAAAGUCUGACGGAGCAACGCCGCGUGAGUGAAGAAGGCCUUCGGGUCGUAAAGCUCUGUUGUUAGGGAAGAACAAGGAUCGUUCGAAAAAGGCGGUACCUUGACGGUACCUAACCAGAAAGCCACGGCUAACUACGUG
rnacentral:rRNA from 1 species